rnacentral:rRNA from 1 species
UAAGGAAUAUUGGUCAAUGGACGCAAGUCUGAACCAGCCAUGCCGCGUGGAGGAUGAAGGUCCUCUGGAUUGUAAACUUCUUUUAUCGGAGAAGAAACCCUUAUAUUCUUAUGAGGUUGACGGUACCCGAUGAAUAAGCACCGGCUAACUCCGUGCCAGCAGCCGCGGUAAUACGGAGGGUGCAAGCGUUAUCCGGAUUCACUGGGUUUAAAGGGUGCGUAGGUGGGCUAGUAAGUCCGUGGUGAAAUCUCCAAGCUUAACUUGGAAACUGCCGUGGAUACUAUUAGUCUUGAAUCUCGUGGAGGUAAGCGGAAUAUGUCAUGUAGCGGUGAAAUGCUUAGAUAUGACAUAGAACACCGAUAGCGAAGGCAGCUUGCUACACGAGUAUUGACACUGAGGCACGAAAGCGUGGGGAUCAAA